UACAGAGGUCUCAAGCGUUGUUCGGAUUCAUUGGGCGUAAAGGGUGCGUAGGCGGCGCGGAAAGUCGGGUGUGAAAUUUCGGAGCUUAACUCCGAAACUGCAUUCGAUACUCCCGUGCUUGAGGACUGGAGAGGAGACUGGAAUUUACGGUGUAGCAGUGAAAUGCGUAGAGAUCGUAAGGAAGACCGUGGCGAAGGCGGGUCUCUGGACAGUUCCUGACGCUGAGGCACGAAGGCCGGGGAGCAAACGGG
rnacentral:rRNA from 1 species